AACGAACGCUGGCGGCAGGCCUAACACAUGCAAGUCGAGCGAGAUCUUCGGGUCUAGCGGCGGACGGGUGAGUAACGCGUGGGAAUAUGCCUCUUGGUACGGAAUAGCCUCGGGAAACUGGGAGUAAUACCGUAUGUGCCCUUUGGGGGAAAGAUUUAUCGCCAAGAGAUUAGCCCGCGUUGGAUUAGGUAGUUGGUGGGGUAAUGGCCUACCAAGCCGACGAUCCAUAGCUGGUUUGAGAGGAUGAUCAGCCACACUGGGACUGAGACACGGCCCAGACUCCUACGGGAGGCAGCAGCGGGGAAUCUUAGACAAUGGGGGCAACCCUGAUCUAGCCAUGCCGCGUGAGUGAUGAAGGCCUUAGGGUUGUAAAGCUCUUUCAGCUGGGAAGAUAAUGACGGUACCAGCAGAAGAAGCCCCGGCUAACUCCGUG
rnacentral:rRNA from 1 species